UACGAAGGAUGCAAGCGUUAUCCGGAUUCACUGGGUUUAAAGGGUGUGCAGGUGGGGUAAUAAGUCAGUGGUGAAAGCCCCCGACUCAAUCGGGGAACUGCCAUAGAUACUGUUAUUCUUGAGUGUGGUUGAGGCGGAUGGAAUAUGACAUGUAGCGGUGAAAUGCUUAGAUAUGUCAUAGAACACCGAUCGCGAAGGCAGCUCACUACACAAUCAUUGACUCUGAGGCACGAAAGCGUGGGGAUCAAACAGG
rnacentral:rRNA from 1 species